rnacentral:misc_RNA from 1 species
UCCCUUUUGAUUGUUUCAAUUUCAUACUCAUAUCUUUGGUGUUGAUUGAACAGUUCUUGUAUUGGGAUCACAAUUUAUUCAUAGCUGAUGGUUUUACUUGUACUCUUAUUUGCUACUUGUAGAACUUUUGUUUCAAUCAAAAAGAUCAAAUCAUUUAGAAUUUCCAUGGAUUUAUUACAUCGACUUGUCUUCAUUAAUAUUAAUAGGCUUUGUUUUCUCCAAUUCACUAAUGGCUUUUUCUUUUUCCGAUGUUAUUCCAUGGAAAUUUAUCAUAUUCAUAGCCCAUGUUUUAUUAGAUAUUUUUAUGUGCUGAUUGGAGAUUGCUAUGCUAGUUUUCUUUCUAUUAUUUAUAUGGCCAGUUACAGUGGUUCUAUUGGAGCUUCCAUAGCUGUAGCUCCAUAUUUUUUUGUUAUCUAUUUCAUUUCCAC